rnacentral:misc_RNA from 1 species
AAGUCGUAACAAGGUUUCCGUAGGUGAACCUGCGGAAGGAUCAUUAUUGAAGUUGCUGAGGUUGCUGCUGGCUCUUCGGAGCAUGUGCACGCCUCUGGCUCUCCAUUUCAUUCACCUGUGCACCUUUUAGUAGUCUCGAGCGAAUUUUUGGCCGUUUCACGACGCGUCAGUUGGAUGUUUGCCUCUCACCCAGGCUCUCCGUCCGAUGGUUCGAGUUCUACGUCUUAUCACAAACUACAACAACCUCAGAAUGUCAACGGUGUGGACCUUUAAACCUAACAAAUACAACUUUCAACAACGGAUCUCUUGGCUCUC